rnacentral:rRNA from 1 species
UACGGAGGAUCCGAGCGUUAUCCGGAUUUAUUGGGUUUAAAGGGUGCGUAGGCGGUUUGAUAAGUUAGAGGUGAAAUGUCGGGGCUCAACCCCGAAACUGCCUCUAAUACUGUUGGACUAGAGAAUAGUUGCGGUAGGCGGAAUGUAUGGUGUAGCGGUGAAAUGCAUAGAUAUCACGCAGAAUCCCGAUUGCGGAGGCAGCAUACCGGUGCACAACUGACGCUCAGGCACGAAAGCGUGGGUAUCGAACAGG